rnacentral:rRNA from 1 species
AUGGCUCAGGAUGAACGCUAGCGGCAGGCUUAAUACAUGCAAGUCGUGGGGCAGCAUGAGUAGCAAUACUUGAUGGCGACCGGCAAACGGGUGCGGAACACGUACACAACCUUCCUUCAAGCGGGGAAUAGCCCAGAGAAAUUUGGAUUAAUACCCAUAAAAUAUAAAAAUGGCAUCAUUUAUAUAUUAAAGCUUCGGCACUUGAUGAUGGGUGUGCGGCUGAUUAGAUAGUUGGCGAGGUAACGGCUCACCAAGUCUACGAUCAGUAGCUGAUGUGAGAGCAUGAUCAGCCACACGGGCACUGAGACACGGGCCCGACUCCUACGGGAGGCAGCAGUAAGGAAUAUUGGACAAUGGACGAAAGUCUGAUCCAGCCAUGCCGCGUGAAGGAUUAAGGUCCUCUGGAUUGUAAACUUCUUUUAUAUGGGACGAAAAAAGAGAAUUCUUUCUCACUUGACGGUACCAUACGAAUCAGCACCGGCUAACUCCGUG